AUUGAACGCUGGCGGCAUGCCUUACACAUGCAAGUCGAACGGUAACAGGUCUUCGGAUGCUGACGAGUGGCGAACGGGUGAGUAAUACAUCGGAACGUGCCUAGUAGUGGGGGAUAACUACUCGAAAGAGUGGCUAAUACCGCAUGAGAUCUACGGAUGAAAGCAGGGGAUCGCAAGACCUUGUGCUACUAGAGCGGCCGAUGGCAGAUUAGGUAGUUGGUGGGAUAAAAGCUUACCAAGCCGACGAUCUGUAGCUGGUCUGAGAGGACGAUCAGCCACACUGGGACUGAGACACGGCCCCGACUCCUACGGGGGGCAGCAGUGGGGAAUUUUGGACAAUGGGCAAAAGCCUGAUCCAGCAAUGCCGCGUGCAGGAUGAAGGCCUUCGGGUUGUAAACUGCUUUUGUACGGAACGAAAAGCCCCGGGUUAAUACCCUGGGGUCAUGACGGUACCGUAAGAAUAAGCACCGGCUAACUACGUGCCAGCCGCCGCUGUAA
rnacentral:rRNA from 1 species